UUCAGAUUCGGGAGGAAGACAAGGAUCCCGUUUACUUGUACUUUGAGAGGAUGAUGACUUGUGCCAGAAUCCGAGCAUAUGAACGCAAAAAGGAGGGGAAAAAGCAGCAGAAGGACCUAUACAUCUGUAAUUCAGAGAAUUGUACAGAAAAGAAGCAUGAUCCUGAGCACCAGAACCUUAAAAAAGAAGUUUGUGGGAUGGAGAAAGACACU